UCCUUGAUGGCUCAGUUGGUAAAGAGUCCUGCCUGCAAUGCAGGAGACCCAUGUUCAAUCCCUGGGUGGGGAA
rnacentral:tRNA from 1 species